GCAGCAAGGCCUUGGGGUCCGGGCCAGGGAGCCAUGGAAGCUCCCCCCAGGGUGUAUAAUGGGAAGCUUGGUUUUUAGGUCACCCUGGAGGCCCAUGUGCAGGAGGCUUGGCAGGAAGGGGAGAGGCUGUAGGCAGGGUGGCCACAAAGAGGUGAUGAGGGGCUGACUCCAGUAGGGGUCUCGGGGAGGCGAGGAGGAUGAGGAUGCGGGAGGUGGCACACUCAGAAGGCAGUGGCCGGUUGGUCUGGGGGCCGUCAGGCAGGCAGGUGGCGAGGGCUACUCCCAGGCAAAUGUCAGGCUUGAGUGGAUGGGUAGAUGGACAGUUGGGUGGACAGUGGUCAUGCCCCCUCCUAGACGGGGAACAGGGAGGAAGGCGCAGCUGUGUGGGGCUUAGGAGGAGCCUGUGGGGCAGCUCCUGGGUGAAUGAUCCCAAAGGCAGGGCCAGAGCACACACAGAUUGGGCUGUGGAGUGAGGCAGGCCUCAGAGAAGCGGGGGCGGCCCGCAGCAGGCAGAGCUCGGACCUCAGCUGCCAAGGCACAGUCUGGCGGGGGGCAGGCAGCUCAGGAGGGGAUGGGCUUGGGUGUGGCAGAGGAGGUGGGGCUUGGCACGGGGCCACAGAGGCUGGAGGGAGUGGUCACCACUGCUGGCACUGCACGCUGCCAGAAGGUCAGGUUAGAUCAUCGUCCUGCAGGGAGGGGUGGAAACCAGCCAGUGGGUGGAUUGUCCAGGGGCUACAGGCAAAGGACAGGCCCUCGGCAAGGCAGCCG
rnacentral:lncRNA from 1 species